rnacentral:rRNA from 1 species
CCUACGGGAGGCAGCAGUCGGGAAUAUUGCGCAAUGGAGGAAACUCUGACGCAGUGACGCCGCGUAUAGGAAGACGUUUUUCGGAUUGUAAACUAUUGUCGUCAGGGAAGAGAAAGGACAGUACCUCAGGAGGAAGCUCCGGCUAACUACGUGCCAGCAGCCGCGGUAAUACGUAGGGAGCGAGCGUUAUCCGGAUUUACUGGGUGUAAAGGGAGCGUAGACGGUUAAUCAAGUCAGAAGUGAAAACCCAGUGCUCAACCUUGGGACUGCAUGUGAAACUGAGUAGCUAGAGUGCAGGAGAGGAAAGCGGAAUUCGUGGUGUAGCGGUGAAAUGCGUAGAUAUCACGAAGAACACCGGUGGCGAAGGCAGCUUACUAAACUGCCACUGACAUUGAUGCUCGAAAGUGUGGGUAUCAAACAGGAUUAGAUACCCUAGUAGUC